rnacentral:rRNA from 1 species
UACGUAGGGGGCGAGCGUUGUCCGGAUUUACUGGGCGUAAAGAGCGCGUAGGCGGAUGUUUAAGUGUGGCCUCAAAGCCCCCGGCUCAACCGGGGAUCUGGGUUGCAAACUGGGCAUCUUGAGGGGGAUAGAGGAGAGUGGAAUUCCUGGUGUAGCGGUGAAAUGCGUAGAUAUGCGGAGGAACACCGAUGGCGAAGGCAAUCCCCUGGGCCUGCACUGACGCUCAUGCACGAAAGCGUGGGGAGCAAACAGG